AUCCAGCCGACGAGUCCCAAAUAAGAGGAAACACGCAUCAAACUGGAU
rfam:Schistosoma margrebowiei strain Zambia genome assembly, scaffold: SMRZ_contig0000043